UCUCCGUUGGUGAACCAGCGGAGGGAUCAUUACCGAGUUUACAACUCCCAAACCCCUGUGAACAUACCUAUUUGUUGCCUCGGCGGUGCCUGUUCCGACAGCCCGCCAGAGGACCCCAAACCCUGAUUACAUUUAAGAAGUCUUCUGAGUAAACCGAUUAAAUAAAUCAAAACUUUCAACAACGGAUCUCUUGGUUCUGGCAUCGAUGAAGAACGCAGCGAAAUGCGAUAAGUAAUGUGAAUUGCAGAAUUCAGUGAAUCAUCGAAUCUUUGAACGCACAUUGCGCCCGCUAGUAUUCUGGCGGGCAUGCCUGUCCGAGCGUCAUUUCAACCCUCAAGCCCCCGGGCUUGGUGUUGGGGAUCGGCGAGCCUCCGCGCCCGCCGUCCCCUAAAUCUAGUGGCGGUCUCGCUGUAGCUUCCUCUGCGUAGUAGCACACCUCGCACUGGGAAACAGCGCGGCCACGCCGUUAAACCCCCAACUUCUGAACGUUUGACCUCGGAUCAGGUAGGAAUACCCGCUGAACUUAAGCAUAUCAAUAAGCGG
rnacentral:rRNA from 1 species